GACGAACGCUGGCGGCGUGCUUAACACAUGCAAGUCGAACGGUAAGGCCCUUCGGGGUACACGAGUGGCGAACGGGUGAGUAACACGUGGGUGAUCUGCCCUGCACUUCGGGAUAAGCCUGGGAAACUGGGCCUAAUACCGGAUAGGACCACUGCCUGCAUGGGGGGUGGUGGAAAGCUUUUGCGGUGUGGGAUGGGCCCGCGGCCUAUCAGCUUGUUGGUGGGGUGAUGGCCUACAAAGGGGACGACGGGUAGCCGGCCUGGGAGGGUGACCCGCCACACUGGGACUGAGAUACGGCCCAGACUCUUACGGGAGGCAGCAGUGGGGAAUAUUGCACAAUGGGCGCAAGCCUGAUGCAGCGACGCCGCGUGAGGGAUGACGGCCUUCGGGUUGUAAACCUCUUUCAGCACAGACGAAGCGCAAGUGACGGUAUGUGCAGAAGAAGGACCGGCCAACUACGUGCCAGCCGCCGCCGUAA
rnacentral:rRNA from 1 species